UCAGAUGAAAACGCAAGCCUCCAGGAAAGUUGCAGCCAACCAAUUUCACAAUCUUGUUCCAGGAAUGCCUGACCCAGAUUCAUGCAAUAACUGAGGACUUUGAUGAUGAAAGGUGCAGUGUUCAGCCAGACCAGCAACGGGUGAAACGUACCAUCUCCACAAAUUAAAUAGAUGGUCAUCUUUGGUCCUCACUGGAUGGGUAGAGCAGAUGUUGAUCAGUCUCCGUGGAGCUGCCAUUUCUUGCUGACUGCGAGACAAGAUGGAGUGCCAGAUUGUCAUUUAGUUUAACUCCAUGGAAAUGAGGCAAGGGAAUCUGACCAUGACUAAACCUUUGCAUCCAGCAAAAGAACAAGGGCAAUCAAGGAAACCUUCUGCUGGCCCUCGGGGGGACAG